UACGUAGGGUGCGAGCGUUAAUCGGAAUUACUGGGCGUAAAGCGUGCGCAGGCGGUUUUGUAAGCCGGAUGUGAAAUCCCCGGGCUUAACCUGGGAAUGGCAUUCGGGACUGCAAGGCUGGAGUGCGGCAGAGGAGACGUGGAAUUCCUGGUGUAGCAGUGGAAAUGCGGUAGAUAAUCAGGAGGAACAGCCGAUGGCGAAGGCAGGUCUCU
rnacentral:rRNA from 1 species